UUUCAUUGAGCUUCAUAAGCAACAGUUGACGUUAACUCCAUGGGAGCAGAUACUUAAAUCAGCUCAAAAUGUGCUCUUCAAUGAAGAACUGUUUGCACAGAUUGUACAAUCAUUUGUGAUGAGGAACUUGUAUUAUAUAAUGUGAAACUGCACAAGAGGAAAGGUCAUGACUAGUGGGUGGGUCAUUUAACCUUAUCGCUAUAAAGAAAAACUACUCACACAAGUCACGUAUCUUGUGCAAGGGGUGUGGUUGUGGGUGGAGUCAAAGAUGACGUACAUUGAAUAGGUUGAUAUGGGAGGAGUACCAGCAACACUGGUUAAUAUUGUGUCAAGACGUCAGCCAUUAGCAGUUGCAUAUUUACGUGAUUAUUUAGAAACAACUAGUUUAAA